UACGUAGGUGGCAAGCGUUGUCCGGAAUUACUGGGUGUAAAGGGCGUGUAGGCGGGAAGGCAAGUCAGAUGUGAAAGCCCAUGGCUUAACUGUGGAACUGCAUCUGAAACUGUUUUUCUUGAGUACUGGAGAGGAAAGUGGAAUUCCUAGUGUAGCGGUGAAAUGCGUAGAGAUUAGGAGGAACACCAGUGGCGAAGGCGGCUUUCUGGACAGUAACUGACGCUGAGGCACGAAAGCGUGGGUAGCGGACAGGAUUAGAUACCCGCGUAGU
rnacentral:rRNA from 1 species